rnacentral:rRNA from 1 species
UACGUAGGGUGCAAGCGUUGUCCGGAAUUAUUGGGCGUAAAGAGCUCGUAGGCGGUUUGUCGCGUCUGCUGUGAAAACCCAGGGCUUAACCCUGGGCCUGCAGUGGGUACGGGCAGACUAGAGUGCGGUAGGGGAGAUCGGAAUUCCUGGUGUAGCGGUGAAAUGCGCAGAUAUCAGGAGGAACACCGGUGGCGAAGGCGGAUCUCUGGGCCGUAACUGACGCUGAGGAGCGAAAGCAUGGGGAGCGAACAGG